GCCUGCACCUGAGUCCAGUCAGCAAAUUUUUGGUUUCCUGAACGCACAUGGAUGCAGACAGAUAGGAUGUGGCAACCCGGGGAAUCCAAAGCCAGGAGAAGAGCCGCAUUCAUGGCGGAGGAAAAGCAACAAAUGAGCGCACUCAGCGUCAAACAGGAAACCAGUUGCACGAGGGGCACAGGGUUACCCAUAAACAUGCCGGCAAAGGGCCUACAGGUGCCAUGAUAAAGUGCUUUACAAGCAAAGACUCAUUAGUGGCUUUCCUGUUCCUGUCUGAUAGCUCUGGGAUCUGCUCGCUUGUGAUCAUUUUCUGGGCCCUUGUUAUUCAGCAGGCCUCAGGCGUUUCUCUGUCUUGUGAUAGACCGAGUAUCCUCUCCGCAGAAAGCCCAAGGGUCCGAGGAGCUGACAGGACAAUCGGGCAGGUGUCAGCUGGAUGUUAGAUGUGUUUUCUCCAACCGGUGGGGAACGGGAGGUGAAAGAGACAAAUUGAACCCUGGAGAAGCCGCCAGUACAACAAUAUAAGCUGCUUCUUCCAUCAGUCUCGUGUCCUUGCACAAAAGCACCGACCCUCCAGUUGCCGGAGACGGAAUACAGAGCCUUGAGCCAUCCAGCAAACAGAAGGUCGUCCCUCCGACAGAUCUGAGCCCAUCCGUAUAUUGUCGGUUCCCCCGUCCCUUUCUACCUCUACAUUUAAUCAGCCAAUUAAAAUGUUCCUUUUGAUUUGGAA